UCAUCCAGGAGGGGGACAUGGGCAAGAGCAAGGGGCUCUGCUGGGGAGACCUGACUGGACACAGGGGUCUCCACAGCGUAGGGAACAAGCCAAAUGCCGCUAAAACAAAAAUGAGGCCAGAAUAAAGAGCCCAAACCUGGACAGAGGGUGCCAGGACAGGCAGGGGGCAACAGUGGCCUGAGUGACGUUGCUGCCCCGGGUUGAGGGAGGGUAGAAUGAGCAGGGGGCAGGCACUGGAGCUCAGGGGACCAGGACCGAGCAGCCACAGGUGCACAGAGCAGGUGGGGGCAGGAGGAGCAGGAGGCAGCUCCUGGAGCUCAGGAGACCAGGACAGAGCAUCUGAAGCCUCCACCAAGGGCCCAUCGGUCUUCCCCCUGGCGCCCUCCUCCAGGAGCACCUCCGAGAGCACAGCGGCCCUGGGCUGCCUGGUCAAGGACUACUUCCCUGAACCCGUGACAGUGUCGUGGAACUCAGGCGCCCUGACCAGCGGUGUGCACACCUUCCCGGCUGUCCUACAGUCCUCAGGGCUCUACUCCCUCAGCAGCAUGGUGACCGUGCCCUCCAGCAGCUUGGGCACCCAGACCUACAUCUGCAACGUAAACCACAAGCCCAGCAACACCAAGGUGGACAAGAGAGUUGAGAUCAAAACAUGUGGUAGCAGCAAACCUCCCACGUGCCCACCGUGCCCAGCACCUGAACUCCUGGGGGGACCGUCAGUCUUCCUCUUCCCCCCAAAACCCAAGGACACCCUCAUGAUCUCCCGGACCCCUGAGGUCACAUGCGUGGUGGUGGACGUGAGCCAGGACGAACCUGAUGUCAAGUUCAACUGGUACGUGGACGGCGUGGAGGUACGCCAUGCCCAGACGAAGCCGCAGGAGGAGCAGUACAACAGCACGUACCGCGUGGUCAGCGUCCUCACCGUCACGCACCAGGACUGGCUAAACGGCAAGGUGUACACGUGCAAGGUCUCCAACAAAGCCCUCCCGGCCCCCGUCGAGAAAACCAUCUCCAAAGACAAAGGGCAGCCCCGAGAGCCGCAGGUGUAUACCCUGCCCCCGUCCCGGGAGGAGCUGACCAAGAACCAGGUCAGCCUGACCUGCCUGGUCAAAGGCUUCUACCCCAGAGACAUCGUCGUGGAGUGGGAGAGCAGCGGGCAGCCGGAGAACAACUACAAGACCACCCCACCCGUGCAGGACUCCGACGGCUCCUUCUUCCUCUACAGCAAGCUCACCGUGGACAAGAGCAGGUGGCAGCAGGGGAACGUCUUCUCAUGCUCCGUGAUGCAUGAGGCUCUGCACAACCACUACACCCAGAAGAGCCUCUCCCUGUCUCCGGGUAAAUGAGGGCGACACCCGGCAAGCCCCCGCCCCCCGGGCUCUCGGGGUGGCGCGAGGAUGCUUGGCCCGCACCCGUGUACGUACUUCCCAGGCGCCCGGCAUGGAAAUAAAGCACCCAGCGCUGCCCUGGGCCCCUGCGA